rnacentral:rRNA from 1 species
AGGGUUUGAUCCUGGCUCAGAACGAACGCUGGCGGCGUGGAUGAGGCAUGCAAGUCGAACGAGAACGCACCCUUCGGGGUGCUAGUACAGUGGCGGAAGGGUGAGUAAUAGAUGGACAAUCUACCCUGGAGUUGGGGAUAACCGCGAGAAAUCGCGGCUAAUACCGAAUGUGGAUUUGGAGUCGCAUGGCUCCGAGUCUAAAGGUGGGGAUCUUUCGGGACCUGCCGUUCCAGGAGGAGUUCAUCUCCUAUUAGCUUGUUGGUGAGGUAACGGCUCACCAAGGCGAUGAUGGGUACCCGGGCUGAGAGGCUGGUCGGGCACACUGGGACUGAGACACUGCCCAGACUCCUACGGGAGGCUGCAGUCGAGAAUCUUCCGCAAUGGGCGAAAGCCUGACGGAGCGACGCCGCGUGGACGAAGUAGGCCUUCGGGUCGUAAAGUCCUUUUAAGGGGUAUGAAAGUCAGGUCGGGUAAUACCCGGUCUGUUUGACGUCAACCCAAGAAAAAGCCACGGCUAAACUCGUGCCAGCAGCCGCGGUAAGACGAGUGUGGCAAGCGUUGUUCGGAAUCACUGGGCAUAAAGAGCUCGUAGGCGGUGAUAUAAGUGGAUUGUGAAGUCCCCCGGCCCAACCGGGGAAUUGCGGUCCAAACUGUAUCGCUAGGGAGCAGGAGGGGUGAGUGGAAUUCAGGGUGUAGCGGUAAAAUGCGUAGAUAUCCUGGAGAACGUCGGUGGCGAAGGCGACUCACUGGCCUGUAUCCGACGCUGAGGAGCGAAAGCUAGGGGAGCAAACGGGAUUAGAUACCCCGGUAGUCCUAGCCGUAAACGAUGGGCACUGCGUAGAGGGGAUCCGAUAUCUUCUCUGCGGAAGCUAAUGCGUUAAGUGCCCCGCCUGGGGAGUACGGUCGCAAGACUAAAACUCAAAGGAAUUGACGGGGGCUCACACAAGCGGUGGAGGAUGCGGUUUAAUUCGACACACGCGAAGAACCUUACCGAGGCUUGAAAUGCAGGGAUAACCCGACCGAAAGGUUGGGGAUUGCCUUCGGGUGUAACCUGUACAGGUGCUGCAUGGCUGUCGUCAGCUCGUGUCGUGAGAUGUUUGGUUAAGUCCAUUAACGAACGAAACCCUUAUUGCUAGUUGCCAGCGCGUUAUGGCGGGGACUCUAGCGAGACUGCCCCGGUUAACGGGGAGGAAGGUGGGGAUGACGUCAAGUCCUCAUGGCCCUUACGCCUCGGGCUACACGCGUCCUACAAUGGUCGGUACAAAGAGCUGCAAUAUCGCGAGAUGGAGCAAAUCUCAAAAGCCGGUCUUAGUUCGGAUUGCAGGCUGCAACUCGCCUGCAUGAAGGUGGAAUCGCUAGUAAUCGCGGGUCAGCUAUACCGCGGUGAAUAUGUUCCUGAGCCUUGUACACACCGCCCGUCAAGCCAACCGAGUUGAGCCUACCCGAAAUCACGGACCCAACCCUGCGAUUCGUCAAUGGGAGGGAUGCGCUGAAGGUGGGCUUGAUAAGGGGGACUAAGUC